ACGGGUGAGUAACGCGUGGGAACAUACCUCUUGGUUCGGAACAACACAGGGAAACUUGUGCUAUUACCGGAUAAGCCCUUACGGGGAAAGAUUUAUCGCCGAGAGAUUGGCCCGCGUCUGAUUAGCUAGUUGGUGGGGUAAAGGCCUACCAAGGCGACGAUCAGUAGCUGGUCUGAGAGGAUGAUCAGCCACAUUGGGACUGAGACACGGCCCAAACUCCUACGGGAGGCAGCAGUGGGGAAUAUUGGACAAUGGGCGCAAGCCUGAUCCAGCCAUGCCGCGUGAGUGAUGAAGGCCCUAGGGUUGUAAGGCUCUUUUGUACGGGAAGAUAAUGACGGUACCGUAAGAAUAAGCCCCGGCUAACUUCGUGCCAGCAGCCGCGGUAAUACGAAGGGGGCUAGCGUUGCUCGGAAUCACUGGGCGUAAAGGGUGCGUAGGCGGGUUUUUAAGUCAGAGGUGAAAUCCUGGAGCUCAACUCCAGAACUGCCUUUGAUACUGAAAGUCUUGAGUAUGGGAGAGGUGAGUGGAACUGCGAGUGUAGAGGUGAAAUUCGUAGA
rnacentral:rRNA from 1 species